AGAUGCUGCCCCCACCCCCUUAGGCCCGAGGGAUCAGGAGCUAUGGGACCAGAGGCCCUGUCAUCUUUACUGCUGCUGCUCUUGGUGGCAAGUGGAGAUGCUGACAUGAAGGGACAUUUUGAUCCUGCCAAGUGCCGCUAUGCCCUGGGCAUGCAGGACCGGACCAUCCCAGACAGUGACAUCUCUGCUUCCAGCUCCUGGUCAGAUUCCACUGCCGCCCGCCACAGCAGGUUGGAGAGCAGUGACGGGGAUGGGGCCUGGUGCCCCGCAGGGUCGGUGUUUCCCAAGGAGGAGGAGUACUUGCAGGUGGAUCUACAACGACUCCACCUGGUGGCUCUGGUGGGCACCCAGGGACGGCAUGCCGGGGGCCUGGGCAAGGAGUUCUCCCGGAGCUACCGGCUGCGUUACUCCCGGGAUGGUCGCCGCUGGAUGGGCUGGAAGGACCGCUGGGGUCAGGAG
rnacentral:misc_RNA from 1 species